rnacentral:rRNA from 1 species
UACGAAGGGGGCUAGCGUUGCUCGGAAUUACUGGGCGUAAAGGGCUCGUAGGUGGCCAACUAAGUCGGACGUGAAAUCCCUCAGCUUAACUGGGGAACUGCGUCCGAUACUGGAUGGCUUGAGUUUGGGAGAGGGAUGCGGAAUUCCAGGUGUAGCGGUGAAAUGCGUAGAUAUCUGGAGGAACACCGGUGGCGAAGGCGGCAUCCUGGACCAACACUGACACUGAGGAGCGAAAGCCGGGGGAGCAAACGGG